UUGACUUUUAUUUUGACGCUUUUAACCGCUCCAUGGAACCAGAACCCUUUUUUUUCUCUCUACCGCUCUGCACUGAACCGUGAGUAACAUGUAUAUAUGUCUAUGGUGAGUAACCCAACGAGUAUAGAACAGCUACAUAUUUAUCGCCGCCUAUCGACUUGGAGUGUGAAGACGUCAAAGUCCUAGACAUCAAAGUAGUCUACUGAAAAAAAGCCGUAUUUCUCUGCUCCAAGCCAACAUUCACGAUGUUAAAGGACAGCAGAGUUCUUCAUCAUCACUACUUUUUUGAUCUACCCCAACAUUGUGCCUAAGUCAUCAAAAUGGGUCAACCAGUAUUACAUGGUAAGCUUACAUUAGUCACCAGUCAAACAUGAUAGACUUCCUGGUGUAGCGGCGUAUCUAGGCUAGCUCUAGGUGUUUGCUCUCCUAGUAUGGUUUUGAAGAUCAAAGCCCCUCCCUAGUUCAGGCACAUGAGCCCAUGUUGGUAAGCAUAAAUUGCCUUUUUGGUACUCAAAUCAAUAAAGAAAGGAAAUUCUGCAAAUGCCACAUUACUCUGUGGUCAUGUUUUACAAAUCACAAACAGUUUACAAUUCUUAAAUAGGCUAUUACCAAAAAUUGUUGGCUACCAGUGGAUAGUCUGCCUAGGCAGUACAUAACAAUUGCAGGUGUAUAAAUGCAGGGUAGUCAGGGAGAGUAACUGAUUUUGUCAUUAAAACCUGACUAAACCUUUCCUGAAGAAAGAAGCCUAUGUUGUCUCGUCCAGUAUUCACAAAAGGCCUCAUUAUAUCCUAAGACUGAAAGUAGGAAGCAAAUGAGAGGUUUAUAUAUUUUUUUCUCUGGAUUUUUCCAAGCCUUUAGGAGUUACCAUACCAAAAAAGCCCCUGUCUAUAAACCUUACUUGUUUGACCUAUUGUCGUUUAAGAUUCUCCUAAAAUACGGGUGCAGCAUUUUCUUUCCAUGAACUGUUGUUAGGAUUGGAUGAAACAGCUGCCAUGUCAGUGUCAGUCAGUGUUGUUUUUGUUUAUCAUUGAUGAGAUGAAGGACUGAAAUAUUCAGAUUACUUUCAGAGCGAAGUCACACACAACAUUGUUUGUUUUGAGUUGCAAUAUGUUUAUUGAUAAAGAAAAGGCAAGAGCCAAAAGAAAAAGGGACUUCAUAUAGAAACAUCAAGAUGCUUCAGGGGCUAAACAUACACAUUUAUACUAUCAUGUAAUAAUGAUUUAAAACAUUUCCUUGAAAACCAACAUAACAUCACAUAGUCAUCAUUUAUCUUCUCCUUCUACGCUGUUUUAGAGAGGGUGUGGAGCCUGCAUCACAGUCUGUGACAUGGCACUCGCACGUCUCAAUGUAGAUGUAUGAGUGUGUGAUCUUUGAGCCAUUAGGACAGGUCAGCAACACCUUCCUCUCUUGAGUAGCUUUCUCCUGACAACAUGAGCAGGAAUGCUUCAAGGCGUUGGCCUCUGCCGAGUAUCUGUGGAGACAAACGCACCACAAAGGGGCACACGAUUUAGAAAGUUAGCACCGACUUACUGUCAUACAAUACAUUCAACUUUUGCACUCCGUUUUUUGGCCACUUUGGACAGAUACAGUCUUAACGAGGCUGAUGCAUCAGCACGAUAUAUGACAAAAGUACGUUUUCUGUCCUUUAAAUACUUUGAAGGGAUUCUGGAACCUUCUGACUCGUUCUGAUACUUACAUGGAUGAUGUUCCACAGGAGCCGGCACAGGAGGAGAUCUCGAUGUUCUCUGAGCUGACACAUCCAUUGUAGGAUAUCUGGCAAAGAAUGGGGACACAUUCAGUGGCGUGCAGCUGAGUGUUGGGGUCCACAGCUGAGCCACAGACACAUGACUCACAGGGGUUGGUGGAGGGAACAGCGGAACCAGGCUAGGAGAAGACCUCCAGUCCACACACACUCCCUCUUUGGCGCACGCGGAGGCAAAGGCCUGGAGACUGGUACAGCCCGAUGUUGCUGAGCUGCAUACGUCAGAUGUGCAGCUUUUCACAUAAGCCUCAAGAGGAACCACUUUCCGACACUCCUCAAACACUCUGAUGCAACAAAGAAAUUGUGUGUGAAUGGAGACUGUAGGAUAUAGACUUAGUGAACUAAUACCAUAUUGUAUCAGCUGCAAAUACACCAUGGAAAUGACAAACCAUUGGAAUAUAAUCUCUGUGUGCACAGGGAAAUAGUGAUGGACACACACAAAUACAUUCAACAGGGUUAUAAUUAAGGUAACUGAAUUCAGUAUAAUCAGAUACAUAGCUACAGGAAUAGUGUAAUAAUUGGCUCCCUCAGGUUAAACUGCUUUUUGAUUCAUCAGUGUUACUCACUUGCUGUUUAGGAGUUCACAAAUAGUAGGAUUGCAAACAGCUUUAGUAGUGGUCUUAGGUGGUGCUGUAGUGGUUGUAGGUGUAGGUGGGGGCGUUUUACAUUCCUCAUCGGGGACUAGCCAUGUAUGUGCUGUCACAGAGCACUCCCUGACUUGGCCAGUAGGUGAACGGCAGUCAUUUUCUUUUGAAUUAUCACAGGUCCCUAGAAAGCAUUACAGAUAGUAACAAACAUGUAAGCCAUACAUUAUGUGCAUAAAACCACAGGUGUUGGUUUGUUCAGCAGAUGUCUUAAAUGUACAUUGUAUUCCAGUUCAUCCAAGAUAAUGAAUGAACUAAAUACUCACCACACUGUCCCUCUGUGUUGUUUUUGAAAAGAGAGAAGGCUAGGUCUAUGCCAAAGGAAGAUCCUGUGUAGGUCACUUGAGCCUGAAUCAGGGGGAUUUCCACUGCUAUCUCCAAGCCGGUGCUUGUGAUGAUGAAAUCCGCAUUUUUGAAAGCGGGGUAGACACGCUUUUGGUCAAGAAUAACCUGUGCAUCAUUAAAAAAAAAGAAAAGAAAA